GACGAACGCUGGCGGCGUGCUUAACACAUGCAAGUCGAACGGAAAGGCCCUGCUUUUGUGGGGUGCUCGAGUGGCGAACGGGUGAGUAACACGUGAGUAACCUGCCCUUGACUUUGGGAUAACUUCAGGAAACUGGGGCUAAUACCGGAUAGGAUCUCCUGCUGCAUGGUGGGGGUUGGAAAGUUUCGGCGGUUGGGGAUGGACUCGCGGCUUAUCAGCUUGUUGGUGGGGUAGUGGCUUACCAAGGCUUUGACGGGUAGCCGGCCUGAGAGGGUGACCGGCCACAUUGGGACUGAGAUACGGCCCAGACUCCUACGGGAGGCAGCAGUGGGGAAUAGUGCACAAUGGGCGGAAGCCUGAUGCAGCAACGCCGCGUGCGGGAUGACGGCCUUCGGGUUGUAAACCGAUUUCGCCUGUGACGAAGCGUGAGUGACGGUAAUGGGUAAAGAAGCACCGGCUAACUACGUG
rnacentral:rRNA from 1 species